AUUGAACGCUGGCGGCAUGCCUUACACAUGCAAGUCGAACGGCAGCACGGGUGCUUGCACCUGGUGGCGAGUGGCGAACGGGUGAGUAAUACAUCGGAACAUGUCCUGUAGUGGGGGAUAGCCCGGCGAAAGCCGGAUUAAUACCGCAUACGAUCUACGGAUGAAAGCGGGGGACCUUCGGGCCUCGCGCUAUAGGGUUGGCCGAUGGCGGAUGAGCUAGUUGGUGGGGUAAAGGCCUACCAAGGCGACGAUCAGUAGCUGGUCUGAGAGGACGACCAGCCACACUGGGACUGAGACACGGCCCAGACUCCUACGGGAGGCAGCAGUGGGGAAUUUUGGACAAUGGGCGAAAGCCUGAUCCAGCAAUGCCGCGUGUGUGAAGAAGGCCUUCGGGUUGUAAAGCACUUUUGUCCGGAAAGAAAUCCUUGGCCCUAAUACGGUCGGGGGAUGACGGUACCGGAAGAAUAAGCACCGGCUAACUACGUG
rnacentral:rRNA from 1 species